GGUGAGCAAACUAAUCAGUCCUCUGAAACGGAAUUCAGACUAAAUUUAUCUUAAUGAGUUUUCAAGUAUAACUGCAAGGAGGAUCUGUUGUCGAUUAUUAGGAGCGCAGAAGAGAGAACUUUACAUAACCACAGCAAAUGGACACAGUGAUGGAGCACCACAUGAUUGUUUUGGUUCAUGAAGAGUGCCACACGGUUGUCUGAAGAGAGGGGGCCCAGCUUCCCUUGGAGACUUCAUUUGAACAUGCAGGUGCAAUAAGAACACAGCCGAUGUGCCAAGAAGCUGCUGCAUCUGAGCCAGAAGUUCCCAUGAAUCAUUAGACUGGCUAUUUCAGCCCCUCUUGAAGUCUCAGGAGUAGCUCUCAUAAUGAAGUCAUUGCUUUCCCUUUCCUUUCUGCACAAAGCAGGGCAGCAUCCAUUUCUAGCCCAUUGUGGUCACUAAAUAGAGGCAUUGAAGAAUCUAAGGUUAAGGUGCACAGCCAUUUCAUUUACUUGGUUGUCAAUAUUCCAUUCCUAAUUUGUCAGCUAAGUGAUACUCUUUGGCUGCCUGACAACAUUUCAACAAAAGAAAUUUGUCCGUUGCAAUAUUCUUGCCAGCUUUGA